CCUACGGGUGGCAGCAGUAGGGCAUUUUGCGCAAUGGGCGAAAGCCUGACGCAGCAACGCCGCGUGAACGAGACGCCCUUCGGGGUGUAAAGUUCUGUCAGUGGGGACGAAAGAUGACGGUACCCACAGAGGAAGCACCGGCUAACUCCGUGCCAGCAGCCGCGGUAAUACGGGGGGUGCAAGCGUUGUCCGGAAUCAUUGGGCGUAAAGAGUUCGUAGGCGGUAUGUUAAGUCUGGUGUUAAAUGCAGAAGCUCAACUUCUGUUCGGCACUGGAUACUGGCAAACUAGAAUGCGGUAGAGGUAAAGGGAAUUCCUGGUGUAGCGGUGAAAUGCUUAGAUAUCAGGAGGAACAUCGGUGGCGAAAGCGGCUCUCUGGUCUGUAACUGACGCUGAGGUUCGAAAGCGUGGGUAGCAAACAGGAUUAGAUACCCUAGUAGUC
rnacentral:rRNA from 1 species